UACGUAGGGGGCAAGCGUUGUCCGGAAUUAUUGGGCGUAAAGCGCGUGUAGGCGGCUUUGUAAGUCGGGUGUGAAAGCCCUCAGCUCAACUGAGGAAGUGCGCCCGAAACUGCAUGGCUUGAGUACCGGAGAGGAUGGUGGAAUUCCCCAAGUAGAGGUGAAAUUCGUAGAUAUGGGGAGGAACACCGGUGGCGAAGGCGACCAUCUGGACGGAUACUGACGCUGAGACGCGAAAGCGUGGGUAGCAAACAGG
rnacentral:rRNA from 1 species